GUGCCAGCCGCCGCGGUAAUACGUAGGGGGCUAGCGUUGCUCGGAAUCACUGGGCGUAAAGCGCACGUAGGCGGAUCUUUAAGCCAGGGGUGAAAUCCUGGAGCUCAACUCCAGAACUGCCUUUGAUACUGAGGAUCUUGAGUCCGGGAGAGGUGAGUGGAACUCCGAGUGUAGAGGUGAAAUUCGUAGAUAUUCGGAAGAACACCAGUGGCGAAGGCGGCUCACUGGCCCGGUACUGACGCUGAGGUGCGAAAGCGUGGGGAGCAAACAGGAUUAGAUACCCCGGUAGUCC
rnacentral:rRNA from 1 species